UUUAUUGCUGAAAGAUGGCCUCGCGUCUGAUUAGCUGGUUGGUGAGGUAACGGCCCACCAAGGCGACGAUCAGUAGCCGGUCUGAGAGGAUGAACGGCCACAUUGGGACUGAGAUACGGCCCAGACUCCUACGGGAGGCAGCAGUGGGGAAUAUUGGGCAAUGGGGGAAACCCUGACCCAGCAACGCCGCGUGAAGGAAGAAGGCCUUCGGGUUGUAAACUUCUUUUACCAGGGACGAAAAAGAUGACGGUACCUGGAGAAAAAGCAACGGCUAACUACGUGCCAGCAGCCGCGGUAAUACGUAGGUUGCAAGCGUUGUCCGGAUUUACUGGGUGUAAAGGGCGUGUAGGCGGAGAUGCAAGUUGGGAGUGAAAUCCAUGGGCUCAACCCAUGAACUGCUCUCGAAACUGUAUCCCUUGAGUAUCGGAGAGGCAAGCGGAAUUCCUAGUGUAGCGGUGAAAUGCGUAGAUAUUAGGAGGAACACCAGUGGCGAAGGCGGCUUGCUGGACGACAACUGACGCUGAGGCGCGAAAGCGUGGGGAGCAAACAGGAUUAGAUACCCUGGUAGUCCACGCUGUAAACGAUGAAUACUAGGUGUGGGAGGACUGACCCCUUCCGUGCCGCAGUUAACACAAUAAGUAUUCCACCUGGGGAGUACGACCGCAAGGUUGAAACUCAAAGGAAUUGACGGGGGCCCCGCACAAGCAGUGGAUUAUGUGGUUUAAUUCGACGCAACGCGAA
rnacentral:rRNA from 1 species